UCAGAGCUAGGUUGGAGGUGAGAGUGCUGCCCCUCGGGAUCUCCUCUCCCUACUGGGAAGGCAGAGAGGGGCUCCCCCUCCGGUCCUUCUGCCACCAGCACAGCAAGCUUUGGUGGGGCCAUUUCAUCUCACAGCCAGCCCCUGCCUUGGUCCCAGGCUAUGUGAUGAGAUGCUCAGAGACCUUCAACACACAGAGAGUGGACACCUCGCCUAGUACAGCCUGUGUACUAAGCUCUGGGGUUACUGAGUAAAUGAAAUACAGUGUCUUCCUGGUUGUGGAGAGUAGGAGCAACACACAGAUUGUGCUGGGGAGCAAGGGUAACGGAAUGCAGAGCUGGUCCAGGAGGCACAGAGGGCAGGUCCCAGCCUCUGGGUGAGAGUACAGACCCCAGAGGGCAGAAGGGCAGGCUGUGGAUCCUGUGGGGACCACCAUCAUCACCCAGCCCGGUCUCAGCCCAGAGUUCCCAGACCCCCCCUCACUCCCUCCAUCCCUUCCUGGGAAGCCUGUCAUGGGCAACAGCCAACAGGAAAAAGAAAACCCUCCCUCUCAGUGCUCCCUCACAGAGCCUGUUUCUGGUCUGGGGACACAGGCCCCCCUCCAAGGAACCAGCCAAUUGGCCGGGCUGGGGUGAUUGACACUCUGCCCCUCCGGAAAACCCAGAGUGACUUAGCUAAACAAAGCUCCCAGCAGGCUGACCAGGUUAUCCUGUCCCGUGACCAACAGUCGCUCACACCAGCCCAGUUUCCAGAUCACAUGUGUUUACCUUCAUGGACUGCCUACCACGUGGAAGGUAUUAUGCCGGGAGGGGCUUACAACAUCCCUCAAAGACAGGCAGGGUGUCAGGUUAUCACCUAACACUGCAGAACUAACCACCCAAAACACAUUUACUUUGCCUGGGAAUGUGCAGAGUGAGCAGGGCUCAGCAGGGCCAGCUUGUCUCUGCUCCACUGGGCAUCAGCUCGAAGGCCGAGUUCAGUCAUCACCUAGGGCCACUCACGUGCCUGGUUCUGGCCUGGUAAGAGCCAACGGCUGGGGGCAGGAACAGCUGGGACUCCUCACACACACCUUUCUCCAUGGCAGCUGCUGGCAUGUAAAAAGCUACAAGUGGCCACUCCUAACAACAGGUAAAGAGCUGGAAACACUGAACACUCAACAAUCCUUCCUAGAUCCUUCAGAGGUGGGGUCACCGGGCAAACCAUGGCCCCCAGAACCAGAGAGACAGACAGGUACCACCAUGGUGCUGGGUCAAUAGGACAUCACAUGGAAGUAAAGGAGGAGUCCCCUUCCUGCUCCCCAUGUGGAUGGCCUCCUGGGGCCUGAAAGGACAAAACCAGAACCCUCAAAGCAGCCACCGGUCUCCUCAUGCCCAGGAGCAGACUGGCCAGGGUCCCAGGGCAGCCACACCGCAGAACAAGAGUCCUCUUGGCCUUGACACAGCGAGGGGUAGUAUGGUGGGUCCCAGCCCUCCUUUCCUUCCGAUCACAUGUGAGGGAGGAAUGUGAACAUUGCCAGCCCGCAGGGGAAAGAGGGGUUGAAAAGUCCUUUGGCUCUGCAAUAAAUAACCCCCACUCAUC